rnacentral:snRNA from 1 species
GUGCUCACUCCUGCAACCCAUAGACUAAAACUGGGACUAUACAGAGAAGA